UACGUAGGGCGCAAGCGUUGUCCGGAAUUAUUGGGCGUAAAGGGCUCGUAGGCGGUUUGUCGCGUCGGGAGUGAAAUCCACUGGCUUAACUGGUGGCUUGCUUUCGAUACGGGCAGACUGGAGGUGUGCAGGGGAGAACGGAAUUCCUGGUGUAGCGGUGAAAUGCGCAGAUAUCAGGAGGAACACCGGUGGCGAAGGCGGAUCUCUGGGCCUUACCUGACGCUGAGGCGCGAAAGCUAGGGGAGCAAACAGG
rnacentral:rRNA from 1 species